GAUGAACGCUGGCGGCGUGCCUAAUACAUGCAAGUCGAGCGAACAGACGAGGAGCUUGCUCCUUUGACGUUAGCGGCGGACGGGUGAGUAACACGUGGGUAACCUACCUAUAAGACUGGGAUAACUUCGGGAAACCGGAGCUAAUACCGGAUAAUAUUUCGAACCGCAUGGUUCGAUAGUGAAAGAUGGCUUUGCUAUCACUUAUAGAUGGACCUGCGCCGUAUUAGCUAGUUGGUAAGGUAACGGCUUACCAAGGCAACGAUACGUAGCCGACCUGAGAGGGUGAUCGGCCACACUGGAACUGAGACACGGUCCAGACUCCUACGGGAGGCAGCAGUAGGGAAUCUUCCGCAAUGGGCGAAAGCCUGACGGAGCAACGCCGCGUGAGUGAUGAAGGUCUUCGGAUCGUAAAACUCUGUUAUUAGGGAAGAACGAACGUGUAAGUAACUGUGCACGUCUUGACGGUACCUAAUCAGAAAGCCACGGCUAACUACGUG
rnacentral:rRNA from 1 species